UUUUUUUUUAAACACCUGACCCCAGAGUAUGUCAGAUCCGCCACAAAUACAGGGAAUCCACUGUUCACACGGACAGAGUCUCCCCUGUAUUUGCACGGCGUCGCACAAGUACGGAUACACAAUCAGAGUACAACCAGAAUACAACCACAACCAUAUGAACAUACGACCACAACCGCACAUACAGACGUCCAUACAUUCACCAUUCACAACACGACUGUAUCCAUAAUUUUGAACAUAAAUCCAGAUCUAUCAUUUGAAACGUUUCCUACCCGGAAACAAGUUUGAAAUACUAAGUUUCAGAAAUCCAUUGAAAGCUUCUUUUAAAACUGUUUCCCACACGGAAACUUUAUCUUUUAAAACGCUACCACGAGGGGUAGAAAACCAUCGAAAACUGUAUCGAAUAUGAAAACCCUUUUCUUUUUAAAACAAGCGCUACCACGAGGGGUAGAAAACCAUUUUACUUGAAAAGCCCAUAAAUCUCUUUUUAUCACGAAAACCCAGCAGAAAACUGAAUAUUCAAGUACCGAAUGAAACUGAACCGUAAUGAAAGUUUACUAUUUAUUCAAGCAAG
rnacentral:lncRNA from 1 species